GCGAAGGUGGCGGAAUUGGUAGACGCGCUAGCUUUGGUAGCGCAACUGGUUUGGGACCAGUGGGUCGGAGGUUCGAAUCCUCUCUCGCC
rnacentral:tRNA from 1 species